rnacentral:lncRNA from 1 species
UAAAAGAGCUGAAUGCUAAAUUAGAAGGUGAAGGCGUGGUCUUCGGCAAUACUCUUGACUCGAAGCGGCUCAGCCCCGGUGGUCCUGACCCAAAUCAUCACUAACGAAGGAGGAGACAACAAUUCUGCAUGUGUUUUUUGAACUUUUUGAUUUUGUUGGAGAAGUUUAAUAUUAUUACAACUUUUUGAACUUAACUGUAAGAGCAACAUUAUCGGGGACAAACUGUGUGGAUUUCUAAAAAAAAUAAAAAAAAAAUUAUUUUAACUAUAUUAAUGUAUUUCAUUUCAUUUCAUUUAAUUAAUUGAAUCUCUAGUUAUUUGACAUCUAUCGGGUUAGUUUGCAAACCUGUCAUCAUUGUUUCGCCUCGACCACUUCUAUUCUCUUUCUUCUUUGUGUAUUUUUUUUUAUUAUUUUUUUAGUAGUUAAUAUUAAGAAUCUCUCUUAAUAACCUACCGUUAAAGGUGCUCUAACGGUGUAGUGUUUAAUUUCACUGACACCGGAUUGUAAACAUUCAAGCUUAAAUCUUCAAAGUUAAAAGAUGUGUGACCUAAAAGCAGCUUGUUUGAUCUAUAAACAUAUGUAGAAUUUUCUUAUGGCACAAUUCUAUCUCUUUCCACUAAUGUGUUGCUGGUUACAUUAUCUCAUAUGCAUUGUCUUGGUUAUUUGAGGCUCUAUGUUAAGAUUUAAGCUUCAUCUGCUGUCUUGUGAGAUUUUCUCUAUAAUAUGUAGGUUUUAGAGAGAAUUUACCUGCAUAUUUGAAUUUUUGAAACGGGGGGGGGGGGAAAAUUAACGAGUGCGGUAGCAAAAUUUUGGUGGAGUCCUGUAGGUAGCACAAAAGGACUACAUUGGAAAUCUUGGGAUAAGGUAUGUGUUAGCAAGGAAGAUGGGGGAUUAGGUUUUAAGGAUAUAACUGAUUUCAAUACAGCAAUGUUCGGUAAGCAGUUAUGGAGGCUAAUAGAAAAGCCACACACGUUAUUCUCUCGGGUAUUUAAGGGUAGGUAUUUUAGGAAUGCCUCACCACUUGAACCGGUUCGAUCAUACUCUCCGUCAUACGACUGGAGGAGUAUUGUCUCUGCUAGAUCUCUGGUAAGCAAAUGACUAAUCAAAAGGGUGGGAACAUGAUCUUCUAUAUCAGUAUGGAACGAUCCUUGGCUCCCAACCACUCGCCCGAGACCAGCCAAUAAAAAUCAACACAAUUUGUUUCCAGACCUUACAGUGGAUUCCCUUAUUGAUUCCACUUCGCGAAGAUGGAAUUCACAGGUUCUUCGGACAUUGGUGGACCCAUAGGAUGUGAAAAUUAUAGAAAGUAUUCUUUUGAGUAGAUAUCAUAUGGCAGAUAGGAAUAGAUGGCAUUUCACAAAUAAUGGAAAAUUUACGGUCAAAUCAGGAUAUCAAGUGGAGAGGAUUUACCCGGAUAGGGAGAGAAUACCGUCAUUCAUUGGUCCUAUGGUUGAUGUUCUAAAGGCUUUUUGCUGGAAAAUCCGGUGUCCACCAAAGAUGAAAC